ACCAAGGGGGGACGGGGGUUACCGUACUGGGUGUGAUUCAUGACUGGGGUG
rnacentral:rRNA from 1 species